rnacentral:rRNA from 1 species
CACGUAGGGGGCGAGCGUUGUCCGGAUUUAUUGGGCGUAAAGAGCUCGUAGGCGGCUUUGUCAGUCGGGUGUGAAACCUCCAGGCUCAACCUGGAGCCGCCACCCGAUACUGCAAUAGCUAGAGUCCGGUAGGGGAGCAUGGAACUCCUGGUGUAGCGGUGGAAUGCGCAGAUAUCAGGAGGAACACCGAUGGCGAAGGCAGGUCUCUGGGCCACUACUGACGCUGAGAAGCGAAAGCAUGGGGAGCGAACAGG